rnacentral:rRNA from 1 species
ACGCGUGGAACCUUACCAGGUCUUGACAUCCUCUGACACUCCUAGAGAUAGGACGUUCCCCUUCGGGGGACAGAGUGACAGGUGGUGCAUGGUUGUCGUCAGCUCGUGUCGUGAGAUGUUGGGUUAAGUCCCGCAACGAGCGCAACCCUUGAUCUUAGUUGCCAGCAUUAAGUUGGGCACUCUAAGGUGACUGCCGGUGACAAACCGGAGGAAGGUGGGGAUGACGUCAAAUCAUCAUGCCCCUUAUGACCUGGGCUACACACGUGCUACAAUGGAUGGUACAAACGGUUGCCAACCCGCGAGGGGGAGCUAAUCCGAUAAAACCGUUCUCAGUUCGGAUUGUAGGCUGCAACUCGCCUACAUGAAGCUGGAAUCGCUAGUAAUCGCGGAUCAGCAUGCCGCGGUGAAUACGUUCCCGGGCCUUGCACACACCGCCCGU